UACGGGGGGAGCAAGCGUUGUUCGGAUUUACUGGGCGUAAAGGGCGCGUAGGCGGCCACCGCAAGUCGACUGUGAAAUCUCCGGGCUUAACCCGGAAAGGUCAGCCGAUACUGCGGGGCUAGAGUGCAGAAGGGGCAACUGGAAUUCUCGGUGUAGCGGUGAAAUGCGUAGAUAUCUGGAGGAAUACCGGUGGCGAAGGCGGCAUCCUGGACCAUAACUGACGCUGAGGCGCGAAAGCUAGGGGAGCAAACGGG
rnacentral:rRNA from 1 species